GACGAACGCUGGCGGCGUGCUUAACACAUGCAAGUCGAACGGAAAGGCCCUGCUUUUGUGGGGUGCUCGAGUGGCGAACGGGUGAGUAACACGUGAGUAACCUGCCCUUGACUUUGGGAUAACUUCAGGAAACUGGGGCUAAUACCGGAUAGGAGCUCCUGCUGCAUGGUGGGGGUUGGAAAGUUUCGGCGGUUGGGGAUGGACUCGCGGCUUAUCAGCUUGUUGGUGGGGUAGUGGCUUACCAAGGCUUUGACGGGUAGCCGGCCUGAGAGGGUGACCGGCCACAUUGGGACUGAGAUACGGCCCAGACUCCUACGUGAGGCAGCAGUGGGAAAUAUUGCACAAUGGGCGGAAGCCUGAUGCAGCAACGCCGCGUGCGGGAUGACGGCCUUCGGGUUGUAAACCGCUUUCGCCUGUGACGAAGCGUGAGUGACGGUAAUGGGUAAAGAAGCACCGGCUAACUACGUG
rnacentral:rRNA from 1 species